GGUAAUAUUGUAGCAAUACAAUAUGAGAGUGACGUACGGGUGCGUAACACGUAUGCAACCUACCCUUUACAGGCGGAUAGCUCGGUGAAAACCGAAUUAACCCGUCGUAGUAUGAUUGAGUGGCAUCACUUGAUCAUUAAAACUCCGGUGGUAAAGGAUGGGCAUGCGUCUGAUUAGUUAGUUGGCGGUGUAACGGACCACCAAGACGAUGAUCAGUAGGGGAACUGAGAGGUUGAUCCCCCACACUGGCACUGAGAUACGGGCCAGACUCCUACGGGAGGCAGCAGUAGGGAAUAUUGGUCAAUGGAUGCAAGUCUGAACCAGCCAUGCCGCGUGCAGGAAGAAGGCCUUAUGGGUUGUAAACUGCUUUUGCCAGGGGAUAAAAUGGGAGUGCGCUCCUAAUUGAAGGUACCUGGUGAAUAAGCCACGGCUAACUACGUGCCAGCAGCCGCGGUAAUACGUAGGUGGCAAGCGUUGUCCGGAUUUAUUGGGUUUAAAGGGUGCGUAGGCGGUCUUUUAAGUCAGUGCUGAAAUACUCCAGCUUAACUGGAGGGGUGGCAUUGAUACUGGGAGACUUGAGUAUAGUCGAGAUAGGCGGAAUUGACGGUGUAGCGGUGAAAUGCUUAGAUAUCGUCAAGAACACCGAUAGUGAAGACAGCUUACUAGGCUAUAACUGACGCUGAGGCACGAAAGUGUGGGGAUCAAACAGGAUUAGAUACCCUGGUAGUCCACACUGUAAACGUUGAUGGCUCGCUGUGUGCGAUAUACAGUACGCGGCUAA
rnacentral:rRNA from 1 species